AAUGACCAACUAUUUUUAAUUUUUAUCAGUUUUAUAUUUAAUAUUUGUAUAUAAUAUUUUGUCAUCCACUGAUUUUAACAUCUGCAUGCCUGGAUCAUAUUCUUCAAACAAUUAUUUCGCAUUUUACAUUAGAAACACGCAAACACAACAUUUGUUGUUUUGCAAAGUUACAUAUAUGUAUUAUAAUAUUUUAGUUUUCCAUCGUUAGCUUCUAACAGGCUCACCGAAUGCCAGAACUCUUCAAUAACACCUGAAAUAGGUACUGAUUGCACUCCUACUUGAAAUCUGCAAGUUUGUUACACCAGAAUCCAGUUUCAUUUCUGUUUAAUAUUCAUCAUCUACGUCCUGUGGUGGGAUCACGAUCAGUAGAAUGGUAGAAUGCUGACGUCACAAAAAUAAUUCUACAAUCGACAAUUUUGGUAUCACGCUUGGGAAAGUAGAAUCGGUGCUCGGCAAUGUUCGGAUAUUCUACUAGCCGUGUUAAAAAUAUCGCUUCUUCUUCUUAAAAAUAUUGCUGUUUGACGUGUGGUUGUCUUUAUAUUGUGGUGGUUGUAUUCAAAAAGCUAACCUAAAGAAAGAUUAUUAUUUGUGAUUAUUUUCAAUUUGUAUAUUUUUGUCUUGGGUUGUUUGGAACUAUUUUAUUAGAAAUCACUAAAUUUUUGAAUUUUACCUGUGACUAGGGAACAUUGUUAUAUUAAGGUAUUUUUAUUCUUGGUAUGAAACAAUGUUAAGACAAUACUGUGUGCUUUUUAAGUCCUAUGAAAGAAAAUGUUUUGGAUGUAACAGAGAAGUACUACAACUUUGUUAUGAAGAUUUGUCUUUAUGUUAUUUUUAUAAUGUUCAUGGAUUAUAUUUGUUUUUAUGUUUUCUUCAGUUUAAAUAAAGUUUAUGUUUUACCCA